GACGAACGCUGGCGGCGUGCUUAACACAUGCAAGUCGAACGGAAAGGCCCUGCUUUUGUGGGGUGCUCGAGUGGCGAACGGGUGAGUAACACGUGAGUAACCUGCCCUUGACUUUGGGAUAACUUCAGGAAACUGGGGCUAAUACCGGAUAGGAGCUCCUGCUGCAUGGUGGGGGUUGGAAAGUUUCGGCGGUUGGGGAUGGACUCGCGGCUUAUCAGCUUGUUGGUGGGGUAGUGGCUUACCAAGGCUUUGAGGGGUAGCCGGCCUGAGAGGGUGACCGGCCACAUUGGGAGGGAGAUACGGCCCAGACGCCUACGGGAGGCAGCAGUGGGGAAUAUUGCACAAUGGGCGGAAGCCUGAUGCAGCAACGCCGCGUGCGGGAUGACGGCCGUCGGGGUGUAAACCGCUUUCGCCUGUGACGAAGCGUGAGUGACGGUAAUGGGUAAAGAAGCACCGGCUAACUACGUG
rnacentral:rRNA from 1 species